AUUAACGCUAGCGGCAGGCCUAAUACAUGCAAGUCGAGGGGCAGCACGGGUAGCAAUAUCUGGUGGCGACCGGCGCACGGGUGCGUAACGCGUAUGCAAUUUGCCCUUAACUGGGGGAUAGCCUUCCGAAAGGGAGAUUAACACCCCAUAACAUUGCGAGAUGGCAUCAUUUUGUAAUUAAAACUCCGGUGGUUAAGGAUAAGCAUGCGUGUCAUUAGCUAGUUGGUGAGGUAACGGCUCACCAAGGCUACGAUGACUAGGGGAUCUGAGAGGAUUAACCCCCACACUGGUACUGAGACACGGACCAGACUCCUACGGGAGGCAGCAGUAAGGAAUAUUGGACAAUGGUCGAAAGACUGAUCCAGCCAUGCCGCGUGCAGGAUGAAGGCCCUAUGGGUUGUAAACUGCUUUUAUAUGGGAAAAAACGCUUGUUCGUGAACGAGCCUGAUGGUACCAUAUGAAUAAGCAUCGGCUAACUUCGU
rnacentral:rRNA from 1 species